rnacentral:rRNA from 1 species
UACGAAGGGGGCUAGCGUUGCUCGGAAUCACUGGGCGUAAAGGGCGCGUAGGCGGCCAUUCAAGUCGGAGGUGAAAGCCCAGGGCUCAACCCUGGAAUUGCCUUCGAUACUGUUGGCUAGAGACCGGAAGAGGUAAGUGGAACUGCGAGUGUAGAGGUGAAAUUCGUAGAUAUUCGCAAGAACACCAGUGGCGAAGGCGACUUACUGGACACAUAUUGACGCUGAGGUGCGAAAGCGUGGGAGCAACAGGAUUAAGAAACCCUGAGUAGUA